UGGGGAAUAUUGCACAAUGGGGGAAACCUUGAUGCAGCAACGCCGCGUGAGUGAAGGAGGCCUUCGGGUUGUAAAGCUCUGUUAUACGGGAAGAUAAUGACUGUACCGUAUGAGGAAGCCACGGCUAACUACGUGCCAGCAGCCGCGGUAAUACGUAGGUGGCGAGCGUUGUCCGGAUUUACUGGGCGUAAAGGAUGCGUAGGCGGAUAAUUAAGUGAGAUGUGAAAUACCCGGGCUUAACCUGGGGGGUGCAUUUCAAACUGGUUGUCUAGAGUACAGGAGAGGAAAGUGGAAUUUCUAGUGUAGCGGUGAAAUGCGUAGAUAUUAGGAAGAACACCAGUGGCGAAGGCGGCUUUCUGGACUGUUACAGACGCUGAGGCAUGAAAGCAUGGGUAGCGAACAGG
rnacentral:rRNA from 2 species